CUAAUUCAUGAAUUUGUUUUGUUUUUUUUUUCUUCUUCUAUGAAUUGUUUAUCAUUUGAGCUAAUGGUCUUUCAGGAAUGGGCCACAAACAUGGGACCCAAAGACGAUCCUUGGUUGAGGUCAUAGAUUUGAUCCCAAAUCAUCCAAUUACGGAAAAAGAGGCCAUUAUUACUGACUCAAUCACGAUAAUCAACCUUCACAUUAAGGAGGCAGCCAUGAUAUGAUUGGAUAUGAGGUUGUUGUAUUCCGUCCCCUUGAGAAGACACAGGUUAUGGACCUAGACAGGUGAUGGUUGGAUGGAGGGAUUUCUUUUAUAUGUAUUUAGAAUAUUUUCAACACAUUAUUGUAAAUAUUAUAUGUUUUUCAUUGUAUAGUAAUACAAUUUAUUUAGUAUUUAUUUUUAAUUGUGUUGUGCAACAUUUUUUAGG